CUAUAUAACAUCUUGGUGACUUUCUUUGUUUAACAGCCUACAUAUGAUGCUCAAGCAAGUAGUCUGACAUCUUUCAUACUACCAUUUCAUUUCUAAACAUGUUCUCCAUUUAUUGAACAUAUCGCUUCAUUGUUUAAAGUGGUUUAAAAUUAUUUACCACACUAAUUCGUUUUUUUAAAAAAUGCAGUCACCACACCCCAUAAAAAAGAUUCUUACUACCUUUUAUUUUUAACUGUCUACCAAAUUGAUUUUACGGAUCAUAUUAAUACCUCCUUAGUUUCGCAUGUGGACUCACUAUUUUGGAGCAGCGCUAAAUUCUUCAGUAUAGGUUGCAGCCCAAAUAAGAACAUGUGUUAUUUCCCUAGUCACACACCCUGCUUCCUUAUUUCAACUGUUUUCAACAGGUGAUUCAGGAGAAAAAAGUCCACAAGCUUGCUCCCCUUCACAAACACAAAAGGAAAAACGUUUUUCCCCUGAAUGGUGCUCUAGCGCUAGAAAAAGGAAUAGAAAAACUGUCUUCCACAUCACUGUCAUCUUAUGUGGUCGACUGGUCGUAGAUUGUUGCAUGACCUUUUUUUGGUACAAUGACGAUAACAUCUUCUACGAUUACUUCUUGGAGAAAGAGAAGUAACACAAAUUCAGUUUUCCUCAAUCUAGUUUUAAUUUCAUAACUUCUCGAGUUUUGUUUCCUGUUUUUAACGUUUGGGUUUUACUAAACUGCUUCUGAUUUAAUAUCUUUCUGUUCUCACUCUUAGUCUUCGUUCGACCUUUGCAAAAUUAGAUACGAUUUUCUGCUCGUUCCACACAAUUUUCCUCCUCUCUUGUUGUUUUAGAUGUGAGUUUCCUUAGAUCAAUACGUGUAGCCAAAGCACAUUAAAGUCAACAUCCAUGUUGUUUGUUCAUACGCAAAGAAUUUCAUCUAGGCACGAGGACUAAUAUUUGUGAUCCUUCGAGCUUUCAUGGCCGAGAUUAGAAUUUCAUCUAAGCAUGAGGACCAAUACCUUUGAUCCUAAGAGCUUCCACUGCUGUGGUUCUGUUUAUUUCUGCUUUUUUGUUGAAAUAUGUGGACCAGAACCUCCGAUCCUUACAUGCUUC
rnacentral:lncRNA from 1 species